UACAUAGGGGGCUAGCGUUGUCCGGAAUCAUUGGGCGUAAAGCGCGUGUAGGCGGUCCGGUAAGUCCGCUGUGAAAGUCGGGGGCUCAACCCUCGGAUGCCGGUGGAUACUGUCGGGCUUGAGUACGGAAGAGGCGAGUGGAAUUCCUGGUGUAGCGGUGAAAUGCGCAGAUAUCAGGAGGAACACCAGUAGCGAAGGCGGCUCGCUGGGCCACACCUGACGCUGAGACGCGAAAGCUAGGGGAGCGAACAGG
rnacentral:rRNA from 1 species